rnacentral:rRNA from 1 species
AGUGAACGCUGGCGGUAGGCCUAACACAUGCAAGUCGAACGGCAGCACAGUAAGAGCUUGCUCUUACGGGUGGCGAGUGGCGGACGGGUGAGGAAUACAUCGGAAUCUACUUUUUCGUGGGGGAUAACGUAGGGAAACUUACGCUAAUACCGCAUACGACCUACGGGUGAAAGCAGGGGAUCUUCGGACCUUGCGCGAUUGAAUGAGCCGAUGUCGGAUUAGCUAGUUGGCGGGGUAAAGGCCCACCAAGGCGACGAUCCGUAGCUGGUCUGAGAGGAUGAUAGGCCACACUGGAACUGGAACACGGUCCAGACUCCUACGGGAGGCAGCAGUGGGGAAUAUUGGACAAUGGGCGCAAGCCUGAUCCAGCCAUACCGCGUGGGUGAAGAAGGCCUUCGGGUUGUAAAGCCCUUUUGUUGGGAAAGAAAAGCAGCAGGUUAAUACCCCGCUGUUCUGACGGUACCCAAAGAAUAAGCACCGGCUAACUUCGUG